CCCCCAUGAUAUAAGUCCCAUGCACCCAAGACACAUGACUAUGCAUUGCACCAAUCAGAUCCAUUGCUACCACAACCACCACGAUGCUCGUUGCCACAGACCACCUCAUCUUUCACCAUGGUGCCAUUAUAGGAUGUCGACAUCACAUGAUGAUAGGUAUGCAUGCAAAAAUUUCAAUAAUUUAAUCUAACAGAGAUCACAAUAGAAUAUAAAUUUCAAAUCUGAAUUCUCAACA
rnacentral:lncRNA from 1 species